rnacentral:rRNA from 1 species
AUUGAACGCUGGCGGCAGGCCUAACACAUGCAAGUCGAGCGGAGCGGCGGACGGGUGAGUAAUGCCUAGGAAUCUGCCUGGAAGUGGGGGAUAACGUCCGGAAACGGGCGCUAAUACCGCAUACUCUCAGAUGAGCCUAGGUCGGAUUAGCUAGUUGGUGGGGUAAAGGCCUACCAAGGCGACGAUCCGUAACUGGUCUGAGAGGAUGAUCAGUCACACUGGAACUGAGACACGGUCCAGACUCCUACGGGAGGCAGCAGUGGGGAAUAUUGCACAAUGGACGCAAGCCGGAUGCAGCCAUGCCGCGUGUAUGAAGACGGCCUUCGGGUUGUAAAGUACUUUCAGUCGGGAGGCGGUACCGGCAGAAGAAGCACCGGCUAACUCCGUGCCAGCCGCCGCGGUAAUAC